rnacentral:rRNA from 1 species
GAGUUUGAUCUUGGCUCAGAACGAACGCUGGCGGCAUGCCUAACACAUGCAAGUCGAACGAACUCUUCGGAGUUAGUGGCGCACGGGUGCGUAACGCGUGGGAAUCUGCCCUUGGGUACGGAAUAACUCAGAGAAAUUUGUGCUAAUACCGUAUAAUGACUUCGGUCCAAAGAUUUAUCGCCCAAGGAUGAGCCCGCGUAAGAUUAGCUAGUUGGUGGGGUAAAGGCCUACCAAGGACUACGAUCUUUAGCUGGUCUGAGAGGAUGAUCAGCCACACUGGGACUGAGACACGGCCCAGACUCCUACGGGAGGCAGCAGUGGGGAAUAUUGGACAAUGGGCGAAAGCCUGAUCCAGCAAUGCCGCGUGAGUGAUGAAGGCCUUAGGGUUGUAAAGCUCUUUUACCCGGGAUGAUAAUGACAGUACCGGGAGAAUAAGCUCCGGCUAACUCCGUGCCAGCCGCCGCCGUAA